UGAAACAGAACUCCUUAUUGCUGCUUUAAUUCAAGUAUUCAAUUGGUUAUCCAUGAUUUGACGCAUUCUGAUUGGAUGCCUGACAGCCAAUCUUAUCCUGGAAAAAGAAACUUGGGAAACAACAACCCUACAACACAUUCCAAAUAUGGAUGUAUUUAGAGAACAUUGCCAAUUUUUUUACUCACAUGUGUAGUUGUUACACGUCCAAGAGCCUUACACGUAGGAGAAGACACAGCGUGAAUUAAAAUAGUCCUUCUAUCAUAAUAAUGGAGUUCUGUGGAGUCACAAAGAAUGGAUCGCAGCAAGAGCCGUGUUCGUGCAUCCUCGCAAAUAUGGAUGAAGACGAUGUGGUCAUGCAUGAUGUUGACUGCAGUUACUGUGAUGGAGGCUUUUUAGAGACUGCUUUUCUUGAGGAUAAUGAGUGUGACGGCGGCUCUUGCCUGUUGUUAGAUGAUGUUGAAUGCACAGCUGAGGAAGAUGAUGCCAAAUACAGGACAGAGGAGAAAGGGAGUGUGAGGUGUGAGGUUUUGGAAAGUAAGGAAGCCCAGCUGGACAAAGACAUAGCUGCACUGCAGACAAACAAUGUCAGAAUACUACAGCGUUUUUACGAAGUCCAAGACGACAGAAAGCAGGCGGAAUGGAGGGAUGAGGGAUGGCGGAGGAACACUGUCUCCCUCAGGGUGUCAUUUUCACCACUGAAUGGACAUCGCUCUGUGUUACUGGUCGAAAAGAAGAAGAAGAAGAAGAAGAAGAAGAAGAAGAAGAACAGAAGAAACAACAGGGAGGUGAUCAUUAUGGGCAUGAGCACCACACCUGAUGUGGGAAUGAUAGACGUAGCCUCGUCCCCUCGUGAACGGUCCCCUCGUGUUCUCGUCUUCUCUUCCUCCUGGGUCCUCAUCUGUGUGCUGGAGGCACCUCCGGGUCGCUGCUGGAGUCUAUUCUUAACACACACACACACACACACACACACACACACACACACACAGGCUUGCAUUCUGAAGGUCCCACCUGACACUGCUGUCUGAUAUUUGCAAGAUUUGAGCAACCAACAAGGGGCAGAUAAUGUCAAGAAAGCCCCAGGGACCGUUCUUCACACCAGGACAAGCAGGGAGUCUGACAGAUUCUGGCCCCUGGCCCUCUACGCCAGCUCAGUGUAAACAACAGCUCCAAGGCAAUCGGAAGGCAAACUCCUGUUAUUCCUUCACAGAAACAGCAGUGCCUCUGCCUGCCCCAGGGUGUUUUCAGAUCACAGGUUUACUGUGUCAUAUUAGAACUGUAUUAACAGGAUUUUUUGAAUAACGUAAAAACUAAAAAAAGAUAUACUUUUUAAAAAUCUUAAAAAAAUAUGAAAUGGAUCAUUUUGUAAUAACCUAUGGUAGCAUAUGCACUCACAAAUAUGAAACACUUCCACUGACUUCUGUUGCUGAAACUUCGGAGAUCAGUAAAUGCCAUGUGCUUCAGACUUAUCCAACACCACCACAAGCUGUUCAGUUACCUCUGAAAACCUUACGGUGCUCCCAAUGGUGCAUUUGGGGUUUCAAAUGUCAUCUCAUCUCAUGUCAUCUAUGCCAAAUAUUCUCCUGGAACAGAUCAGCAGAGGUCAUAAACCGCCUUCCUUUAACUCCCCUUCAUAAAAAUUCAAGCAACGAAUGCAACAAGGUUAGCUCGAGACACGCACAUUCCUUUUAUAUACACACUUUUUACAGACAUUUAGAACAAAUAACAAUUAGGGAUUCAGUACAAAAGCCGUUGAAUAGCUUUUAGAAACCAACCAGCCAUAGCUGUCCCUGUAAUGAAGAUUAAAGUUGAACCACAAUUCAAGUAUUAAUGGAAAUUAAGACAUUAAGG
ensembl:lncRNA